rnacentral:lncRNA from 10 species
AACCUUUGCUGUCUUGGGACGGAUCACCGCUGCAAGAGGGGAAGUUGCUACUGUGAUGAAUUCUGCCAUGUGGCACCAGACUGCCACCCAGACCACAGUGUCCUCUGCAACCCUGGUAACUCACAUACAGGCCCGAUUCCACCUACAGCAAAGCUGGAUGCGAUGGCUGGCAGAGGCAAACCCUUUGCCUGCACUUCAGGCCAAAGCCGGGAUGUGGCCUAGAUGGUUCCUAAGGUCCCUGACAAUCCUGAGAUCUUGCAUCUUGUCUAUUUCAGGUCAAAGGUGCCUACAUGCUCCUUCUAGCUUUGUUUCCCUGAUGUUCCUUGCCACCUGCUACUCCUCUCUGAGCUACUUUUCCAGGUUCCACAGGGAGAGGUUCAGCUGUCCGUGGUAGACAUGAGGGUAGAGAAUGAGGUGGUUGGGUUCCACUUACCUUUCUAUCAUCUUGCAGUAUGGAUGUCUCUUGACUGGUACCGUGUAGACUUUUGAGGGCACACAGGAGUCUGCAGAGAGAUACUGGGGACAUUGAGCAGCAGCAGUGGGGUUGGGAGGCAGAAAUGAGGACAGGAACAUUUACCUUGUGUUUCUCUCAGCUUCUCAGAUGACCAAGAUGGUGCUGCAGAUGGUGCUGAGGAUGGAGAACCCACCAAGCCCCGCUAGGAGCCACCUAGACUGGAUGCAGAGCAUGGCUAAAACCUUUGAAGAAGAAUUUAUUAUAUCCUACAAACCUGGGAGGCAGAGGUUGCAGUGAACUGGGAUUGUGCCACUGCACUCCAGCCUAGGCGACAGAGCAAG